UCUCCGCUUCACCAAUUUUUAUCUCUCUUCCCCUCUCUGGUUCUUCUCUUCCUUUCUUGUUCUCUUGGCAAGACUGUGAAACCACAACACUCUCUGCACACACCUCACUGCCCCCCCCCCCCCCCCCCCCCCCCCACCCCCACGCGUCGCUGGUGAUGUUCCCUCACACGUAGAAAGGGGCCUCAACUUUUUUUCAUUUUCCCGCUCUUCAUCUCCUUCCCUCACAUUCUGUCUUUGCGGCGCCGCGAAAUGAAGAAACACACUCCUCUAUUUCUGUCCUGCUGUUGCCGUCGUUACUGCCUCCUCACGACCUGGUAAUCUCCUUAAGCCACUUCGUUAAUGAAAUUAAAAUCCCCAAUUGGGCAAACCCUAACAAUUUCAAUUGAUUUUCUCCCUCCUCUUGUUGUGGUGCGAUGACCACUCCACCGCCGACAUCGUUUUUGAAGUGGUGGUGCCCUCCUCUCCUCGUACUUAUAUCUUUGCUCCCCUGAGCCACGGAAUCCCUGCCGCACUAUCCUCGGCCACCGUCGCAGGCUUGUUGCUUACUUUCUUAAAAAUCGAUCAUCACUGCAUAAAGGAUCCUACGAGUACAUAGUGCGAAAUGGAGAGUUCGAGUAACAUAGCUCAUAACUCUUCAAAGGACUUGGUUUAAGAUGAUUUAACGUAUUUAGUGGCCUUCCUCCUCUUGUCAGGGGUACGGUAUGACAGAAACAUGCGGAGUCAUCUCUAUAGAACCCCCAAGACUGGGUGGUCGACAUUCUGGCUCAACUGGAAUGUUGGUUGCUGGUAUUGAAACUUAGAUAAUUAAAGUAGAUACAUCAAAGCCUCUCCCUCCUAAGCAACUGGGUGAAAUAUGGGUCCGUGGACCUAAUAUGACGAAAGGAGAUCUUGGGUACUUCGAUGAUGAAGGGCAACUUUAUGUGGUUGACAGGCUGAAAGAGCUCAUCAAAUACAAGGGUUUUCAGGUAUUCAAUAAUCCGAGGGAGCGGCCUUUCACCUUUGAGGAGAUAGAUGAAGUUCGAGAAAUGUUGGCAAAUUUCAUUACCAGUGAUUGUCUUUGAUAUUUUAUUGUAUAGAAUCUUAAAUUAUGGAUGCUAGCUAGUUUUUCAUAUGAUUGUAAUGUAAUCGACUUUUAUAUUUACAAUUAUAUACUAUUUAAUUUAAUUAUCUAUAUAAUUGGAUACUUUUUAAUA